GAUGAACGCUGGCGGCGUGCCUAAUACAUGCAAGUCGAGCGAACGGACGAGAAGCUUGCUUCUCUGAUGUUAGCGGCGGACGGGUGAGUAACACGUGGAUAACCUACCUAUAAGACUGGGAUAACUUCGGGAAACCGGAGCUAAUACCGGAUAAUAUUUUGAACCGCAUGGUUCAAAAGUGAAAGACGGUCUUGCUGUCACUUAUAGAUGGAUCCGCGCUGCAUUAGCUAGUUGGUAAGGUGACGGCUUACCAAGGCAACGAUGCAUAGCUGACCUGAGAGGGUGAUCGGCCACACUGGAACUGAGACACGGUCCAGACUCCUACGGGAGGCAGCAGUAGGGAAUCUUCCGCAAUGGGCGAAAGCCUGACGGAGCAACGCCGCGUGAGUGAUGAAGGUCUUCGGAUCGUAAAACUCUGUUAUUAGGGAAGAACAUAUGUGUAAGUAACUGUGCACAUCUUGACGGUACCUAAUCAGAAAGCCACGGCUAACUACGUG
rnacentral:rRNA from 1 species